rnacentral:ncRNA from 3 species
UGUCGGCUCUUCCUAUCAUUGUG